AUUGAACGCUGGCGGCAGGCCUAACACAUGCAAGUCGAACGGUAGCACAGAGAGCUUGCUCUCGGGUGACGAGUGGCGGACGGGUGAGUAAUGUCUGGGAAACUGCCCGAUGGAGGGGGAUAACUACUGGAAACGGAAGCUAAUACCGCAUAACGUCGCAAGACCAAAGUGGGGGACCUUCGGGCCUCACACCAUCGGAUGUGCCCAGAUGGGAUUAGCUAGUAGGUGGGGUAAUGGCUCACCUAGGCGACGAUCCCUAGCUGGUCUGAGUGGAUGACCAGCCACACUGGAACUGAGACACGGUCCAGACUCCUACGGGAGGCAGCAGUGGGGAAUAUUGCACAAUGGGCGCAAGCCUGAUGCAGCCAUGCCGCGUGUAUGAAGAAGGCCUUCGGGUUGUAAAGUACUUUCAGCGGGGAGGAAGGCGGUGGAGUUAAUAACUUCACCGAUUGACGUUACCCGCAGAAGAAGCACCGGCUAACUCCGUGCCAGCAGCCGCCGUAA
rnacentral:rRNA from 1 species